GUUGCUUCAGAUGGUGAACUCUCUCUUAAAAUUGAAGUGUAAGAUGUUCAAGUUUCCAAAGCAUAAAUGAAUACUCAGUAUUAAAAAUUGCAUCUUGCUACCUGUCUCCUGCUACAUUC